AACUAACGCUGGCGGCGUGCCUAACACAUGCAAGUCGUACGAGAAAGCCGGCUUCGGCUGGUGAGUAAAGUGGCGCACGGGUGAGUAACGCGUGGAUAAUCUGCCCUUAAGUGUGGAAUAACGUACCGAAAGGUGCGCUAAUACCGCAUAAUGCCUGGCAACACAAGUUGUCCGGCCAAAGAAGGCCUCUGUUUACAAGCUUUCGCUUCAGGAUGAGUCCGCGUACUAUUAGCUUGUUGGUGGGGUAAUGGCCUACCAAGGCUGCGAUGGUUAGCUGGUCUGAGAGGAUGAUCAGCCACACUGGAACUGAGACACGGUCCAGACUCCUACGGGAGGCAGCAGUGAGGAAUAUUGCGCAAUGGGGGCAACCCUGACGCAGCAACGCCGCGUGAGUGAGGAAGGUUUUCGGACUGUAAAGCUCUGUCGAGCGGGAAGAAGUGUACCAUGGCUAAUAUCCAUGAUAUUUGACGGUACCG
rnacentral:rRNA from 1 species